AGGUUUCCGUAGGUGAACCUGCGGAAGGAUCAUUGAAUUAUUAAAACCACAAUGUGAACCUUAUUGUUCCGUGCCUUUGCUGCCAGCAAGGCAAUCAGCUUUGCCUGAUUGUACUUGCAAGCUGGUGCGAGUUUUAUACUUGCAUCAGUGGCGCUCUGGCAUGCUUAUACACCAGUGCUAACCACUGUCAAAACCAAACUCUGAAGCUUUGAUUGCUAUUAAUUGGCAAUCUUAACCAAAGACAACUCUCAACAACGGAUAUCUUGGCUCUCGCAACGAUGAAGAACGCAGCGAAAUGCGAUACGUAGUGUGAAUUGCAGAAUUCCGUGAACCAUCGAAUCUUUGAACGCAUAUUGCGCUCGAGCCCUCGGGCAAGAGCAUGUCUGCCUCAGCGUCGGUUUAUACCCUCACCCCUCUCUCCUUUUGGAGAGCUGGUUAGCUUCUAGCUGGCCUUAGGAGUGGAUCUGGCUUUCCCAUUUGGUUUAUUCUGAAUGGGUUGGCUGAAGUUUAGAGGCUUAAGCAAGGACCCGAUAUGGGCUUCAACUGGAUAGGUAGCACCGGCUUCUGCCGACUACACGAAGUUGUGGCUUGUGGACUUUGCUAGAGGCCAAGCAGGAAACAUGCUUUGCAUGUCUUAAACUUUCGACCUGAGCUCAGGCAAGGCUACCCGCUGAACUUAAGCAUA
rnacentral:rRNA from 1 species